rnacentral:lncRNA from 1 species
AAAGCAGUUUGAAUUAUCGCAAGCCAUUACUAUGAUAAUUCUAUCUUGGUACCUUAUGAAUACUUUUUUACUUUUUGGAUUCAUUUUGAUGAUUUAUAAUAGUCUUUUAUCUUCUAGAGAGUCCUUCAUUCUGUAGAUCUUUUGAGAUUAUAAGCUUAGUUAUGAACACUAUUUUUAUAAUUAAACAAAAAGAUUCUCUGCAUUUCCCCCCCAUCACUGUUUUCCUUUUAACUUGCCAUUGUUGCUCCCUUGUUAUUUGUUUGCUUUUACCAAACACUUAUCUGGCGUUUAUUAUUGUUUUCCCAAAGAUCUAGUGUUUGGCUUUAUUUAUAUGUAUUCAUAGUUUGUAAAAUUAUAAAUAUUUGUAUUUAUUAUUUCUUUUGUUAUUUCUAAUAUGUUAACUUACAGACUAUACAUACUGUGCUUAGUUCUGACUACUUUUAUUUCUUGUGUCACAUUUUAAGCAGAAUACUUAAUUUGCAUUCUCUCUGUAUUUGCAAUAACAUACUUAAUAAUAGAAAGGCCCUUCUGGAUUUAAUAACACUGGCCAUGUCAUGACAUUAUAUAAUAAUCUACAUCCUUGCUCAUCUUGACUUUUUUUGUAGCAGCCCUAGUAGAUGCGUCAAAGUCCAGUGGUUUAGUUUGUUUUCUGUCUAACAUUAUUUUUGCGGGGCUGUGGGGCUGGGGACAUGGCUCAGUGGGUAAGAGCGCUUGCUCUGCAAACAUGGAGACCUGAGUUUGAAUUCCUGGGAUCCACAUAACAAACAGGUUGGAAAGCAAUGGAGGAAGACAUCAUGUCUUGCUCUGAUCUCCACAAACACAUGCAUGAGUGAGCACAUGCAUACUCACAUGGAUGCAACCAAUCCCCCUCCCCCCAUCCAUGCAUUCCCCCCCUACACGCAAAAGGAAAUGGAGCCGUCUAAUUCUUGUGAAUGUAACCUAUGGUAUAUUUGCUUCCAAAACAUUUGUGAAGCUUCAACUAUGGCCAAGAGCGUGUCUGGACUUUAUACCUGUUUUGAUGGGUGUUAAAGCUGAAUACCUACUCUUUGAGACUAGAACUCCAUGUAUGUCUGUCACCCAGCCUCAUCAGCGAUGCAGCUCAGCUUCACCGGGGCUUUGGAUUGCUUCAUCUGUUCUUUAACUCAUCAGUGUUUUUUUUUUAUAAUAUUUGCUUUAUGUAUAUACAAAUUGUGUAAUUCAAUACUAACAAAUCCGGAACUCUUAUAACUUGCUGAUUAGAUGACAUAUGUAAAACACCAAGCACAUCAGGCAUAUAAUAAUCACUCAAUAAAUGCCAGUUUAAACC